rnacentral:rRNA from 1 species
UACGUAGGGGGCAAGCGUUAUCCGGAUUUACUGGGUGUAAAGGGAGCGUAGACGGCAAGGCAAGUCUGAAGUGAAAGCCCGGUGCUUAACGCCGGGGCUGCUUUGGAAACUGUUUAGCUGGAGUGCCGGAGAGGUAAGCGGAAUUCCUAGUGUAGCGGUGAAAUGCGUAGAUAUUAGGAAGAACACCAGUGGCGAAGGCGGCUUACUGGACGGUAACUGACGUUGAGGCUCGAAAGCGUGGGGAGCAAACAGG